rnacentral:rRNA from 1 species
AGUGAACGCUGGCGGUAGGCCUAACACAUGCAAGUCGAACGGCAGCACAGUAAGAGCUUGCUCUUACGGGUGGCGAGUGGCGGACGGGUGAGGAAUACAUCGGAAUCUACUUUUUCGUGGGGGAUAGCGUAGGGAAACUUACGCUAAUACCGCAUACGACCUACGGGUGAAAGCAGGGGAUCUUCGGACCUUGCGCGAUUGAAUGAGCCGAUGUCGGAUUAGCUAGUUGGCGGGGUAAAGGCCCACCAAGGCGACGAUCCGUAGCUGGUCUGAGAGGAUGAUCAGCCACACUUGAACUGAGACACGGUCCAGACUCCUACGGGAGGCAGCAGUGGGGAAUAUUGGACCAUGGGCGCAAGCCUGAUCCAGCCAUACCGCGUGGGUGAAGAAGGCCUUCGGGUUGUAAAGCCCUUUUGUUGGGAAAGAAAAGCAGCAGGUUAAUACCCCGCUGUUCUGACGGUACCCAAAGAAUAAGCACCGGCUAACUUCGUG